UACGUAGGUGGCAAGCGUUGUCCGGAUUUACUGGGCGUAAAGAGCGCGCAGGCGGUCAGAUAAGUCGAAUGUGAAAGCCCCCGGCUCAACUGGGGAGGGUCAUUCGAUACUGUUCGACUCGAAGGCAGGAGAGGGAAGCGGAAUUCCCGGUGCAGUGGUGAAAUGCGUAGAUAUCGGGAGGAACACCAGUGGCGAAGGCGGCUUCCUGGCCUGUUCUUGACGCUGAGGCGCGAAAGCUAGGGGAGCAAACAGG
rnacentral:rRNA from 1 species